UUUGGGUGACCCACCGUGUGUGGGGGGUGAGGUGACCGUCUCCUUGGGGUGUUCCCCAGGUCCCCAUGCCGGCAGGAUGAUGCUGGUCCCCGUCGUGGUGCUCUGGGCUCUGGCUCCGUUCCUCAUCCAGGCAGCUACUGACCAGCCCCCCGUCACCCUCACGGCGUCCCCCGGUGAGGACGCCUGCCUGCCCUGUGGCACCCAGCCCUGGGGACACCUACGGGGGGUCACCCUCACCUGCACCCACCAGGCUGGAGACCACCACCCCGUCCUCAUCCUCAGCCACCUCCUGGGCUGGCAGCCCCCCCAGGAGCCGGGCUGGCACCCCACGCAGGAGCCCGAGAGUCGGUUUAGGGGCAGGGUGGCCUUCUGCACGGCAGGACCAGGGGACACCGGUGUGUCCCUGCUGCUGAGGAACCUCAGCCAUCCCGAUUUUGGGAAUUAUUCCUGCUACGUGGCCACCAACGCCAGUGAUGUCCCACAGCUCCUCUGCAGCCUGGUGCUGCAGCCCGACGGGGCAGAGGUUUUGAAAGAUGCGGAGCCAGACAUGAUCAUGGUGGUGUGUGUCCUCACCGCCGCCUUCACCACGGUGGCCAUCGGGGUCGUCAUCUGCUGCCGCUGCGGGAGGCGGUGCUGCGGGCACAGAGGUGGGUGCUGCUGGGGCUGGGGGGAGCCUGUCCCAUCACCCCCCAGUUUGGGUUGGGAAGGGUUACCAGUUGGUCCUGGCUCCUUUGUGAAACUGGAGUGGGGACGGGAUGGGAUGGGAUGGGGUGGGAAUGGAGAUGGGGAUUGGAUGGGAUGGGAAUAGGGAUGGGGAUGGGGAUGGGAUGGAGAUGGGGAUGGAGAUGGGGAUGGGAUGGGAUGGGAUGGGGAUGGGGAUGGGGAUGGGAUGGGGAUGGGAUGGGGAUGGGAUGGGAUGGGAUGGGGAUGGAUGGGAUGGGAUGGGGUGGGAUGGGAUGGGAUGGGAUGGGAGAGAGAGGGGCUGUGGGAGGGAUGCGAUGGGAGAGGGAUGUGAUGGGAGAGAAAGGGGCUGCAGGA
rnacentral:lncRNA from 1 species